CAUGAGUGGCGGACGGGUGAGUAACGCGUGGGCAACCUGGCCUGUACAGGGGGAUAACACUUAGAAAUAGGUGCUAAUACCGCAUAACGGGGGAAGCCGCAUGGCUUUUCCCUGAAAACUCCGGUGGUACAGGAUGGGCCCGCGUCUGAUUAGCCAGUUGGCAGGGUAACGGCCUACCAAAGCGACGAUCAGUAGCCGGCCUGAGAGGGCGGACGGCCACAUUGGGACUGAGACACGGCCCAAACUCCUACGGAAGGCAGCAG
rnacentral:rRNA from 1 species